GGGACCCAUUGAUGGUGGAGUGCUUGCACAAAGCCUGAUUUGGAAUUUUCCCUUAGUGGCAAACGGGUGAGUAACACGUGGGUUACCUGCCUCAAAGCUGGGGAUAACGUUUGGAAACGAACGCUAAUACCGAAUGUGCUCUACGGAGUAAAGAAGCCCUUAAAGCUUCACUUUGAGAUGGGCCUGCGGCGCAUUAGCUAGUUGGUGGGGUAAUGGCCUACCAAGGCAACGAUGCGUAGCCGAACUGAGAGGUUGAUCGGCCACACUGGGACUGAGACACGGCCCAGACUCCUACGGGAGACAGCAGUUAGGAAUAUUCGUCAAUGGGGGAAACCCUGAACGAGCAAUGCCGCGUGAACGAUGAAGGCCCUCUGGGUUGUAAAGUUCCGUUGUUAUGGAAGAACUGUAAGAUUAGGAAAUGAAUCUUACUUGACGGUACAUUUCAAGAAAGCCACGGCUAACUACGUGCCAGCAGCCGCGGUAAUACGUAGGUGGCGAGCGUUAUCCGGAUUUAUUGGGCGUAAAGCGUCCGCAGACGGUUUAUUAAGUAUAUAAUUAAAGCCCGAAGCUUAACUUCGGUUCGUUAUAUAAACUGGUAGACUUGAGUACAGUAGAGGCAAGUGGAAUUUCUAGUGUAGCGGUAAAAUGCGUAGAUAUUAGAAGGAACACCAGUGGCGAAGGCGACUUGCUGGGCUGUUACUGACGUUCAUGGACGAAAGCGUGGGGAGCAAAUAGGAUUAGAUACCCUAGUAGUCCACGCCGUANACGAUGAGUACUAAGUGUCGGGCNACCGGUGCUGAAGUUAACACAUUAAGUACUC
rnacentral:rRNA from 1 species